GAACGGGUGAGUAACGUGAGCAACCUGCCCCUGACUCCGGGAUAACGGUGGAAACGCCUAAUACCGGAUACGACACGCCACCUGGUCGGGUGGAAAGUUUAUCGGUCAGGGAUGGGCUCGCGGCCUAUCAGCUUGUUGGUGGGGUAACGGCCUACCAGGCGAUUACGGGUAGCCGGCCUGAGAGGGCGACCGGCCACACUGGGACUGAGACACGGCCCAGACUCCUGCGGGAGGCAGCAGUGGGGAAUAUUGCGCAAUGGGCGAAAGCCUGACGCAGCGACGCCGCGUGGGGGAUGACGGCCUUCGGGUUGUAAACCUCUUUUACCACCAACGCAGGACGGUAGGUGGGGAAUAAGGACCGGCU
rnacentral:rRNA from 1 species